ACCGGCCGCGCGGGAGAGCGCGGGGGCAACCCCGCCACCGAAGGAGCAACCGCCCCGGAAACUCUCAGGUCAAGCGGACCGCGCGGGCUGG
rnacentral:ncRNA from 2 species